rnacentral:sRNA from 1 species
ACUCGCGGUCCGCAGGAUGACUCAGGGCAGCCCUGACCACAGUUCCGCCGCCAUCGGCCCUAGCCUGCGGAGUUGGGCUCGCCCCAGGACGAUAACAGAGCUCUACCGGGGGCUGGAGGCACUGACCGGGUGACCAGAGACCCUCCACGGCGCCCGGGAUUUCAGGGACGGCUCCUCCCAUCGCAAGUUUCAACAGAAAGUGAGAAAUAUCCCCCCGACGAUUGGCUGAAAACAUGCAGCAACCACUAUUUUCUUCCUGCCCCUCGUUGAUGAGAGCAUUCGAAGUGACCUCAGCAGGGCAUCCAGGUCAGUUUCUGGAAGACGUGUGUGUGGUGAAUGAAUAUCUGGUUUUGUCUCUGCUGGGCCUGUGUGCCUGUAAAGGAAUUGUUUUGGCCUAGGAUCAUCCAGUUUUGCUCUUGUGGCCCAGGCUGGAGUGCAGUGGUGUGACCUCGGCUCACUGCAACCUCCGCCUCCCGGGUUCAAGUGAUGGGAUUACAGGUGCCUGCCACAACGCCCGGCUAAUUGUUUGUAUUUUUAGUAGAGACGAGGUUUCACCAUGUUGGCCAGGCUGGUCUCGAAUUCCUGACCUCAGGUGAUCCACCUGCCUUGGCCUCCCAAAGCGCUGGGAUUACAGGUAUGAGCUACCACACCCGGCACAAAGCAUUUUCAGCUGUGAAAUUCCCUGGGGUGCUGCAGUAGAGGAAGGUUUGGGGUCUUGACGGGUGCUGUUUGCCACGGAAAGAUGCCUUCCUGCUCCCAGGGCAGGAGAGCUGAGGUAAGACUUUACUGUAGGCUGUCGUUUUUUUUGUUUGUUUUUUGUUUUUGAGAUGGAGUCUCACUCUGUCGCCAGGCUGGAGUGCAGUGGCAUGAUCUUGGCUCACUGCAGAACCUCCACCUCCCAGGUUCAAGCGAUUCUCCUGCCUCAGCCUCCCAAGUAACUGGGAUUACAGGCACAUGCCCCCACAACCAGCUAAUUUUUUAUUUUUAGUAGAGACAGGGUUUCACAUGUUGGCCAGGCUGGUCUUGAACUCCUGACCUCAGGUGAUCCGCCCGCCUCGGCCUCCCAAAGUCCUGGGAUUACAGGCGUGAGCCACUGCACCCGGCCAGGCUGUUGUUCUUUCACCUCCUCGUUUGCACGAUUUGGGCCACUCACAAGAGUGUUAUACCCCGCGAUAAACAGUUACCUACAUUCUCCUCUGCACGCUUGUCUUUAGAGGAAGGAGAUGUAUUCAUUGCCCAAAGUGAUAUAUUGUGUUAAGAUGUGAUAUAUACUGGGGGAAAAAAAGUAUAUAUUGACAUUUCUGGAAUAAACCACUUUGAUAC